rnacentral:rRNA from 1 species
AUUGAACGCUGGCGGCAGGCUUAACACAUGCAAGUCGAGCGAGCGGCGGACGGGUGAGUAAUGUCUGGGAAACUGCCUGAUGGAGGGGGAUAACUACUGGAAACGGUAGCUAAUACCGCAUACCAUCAGAUGUGCCCAGAUGGGAUUAGCUAGUGGGUGGGGUAAUGGCUCACCUAGGCGACGAUCCCUAGCUGGUCUGAGAGGAUGACCAGCCACAAUGGAACUGAGACACGGUCCAGACUCAUGAGGGAGGCGGCAGGGGGGAAUAUUGCACAAUGGGCGCAAGCCUGAUGCAGCCAGGCCGCGUGUGUGAAGAAGGCCUUCGGGUUGUAAAGCACUAUCAGCGAGGAGGCAUUACUCGCAGAAGAAGAACAGGCUAACUCCGUGCCAGAAGCCGCGGUAAAAC